rnacentral:rRNA from 1 species
CAUGGCUCAGAACGAACGCUGGCGGCGCGUCUUAAACAUGCAAGUCGAACGAUCGUGUAGCCAAUACAGGGAGUGGCGGACGGGUGAGGAACACGUAGGAAUCUACCUUGAAGAGCGGGACAACUUUGGAAACCGGGGCUAAUACCGCAUAGUACAGAGAUGUUAAAGGGCUAGCAAUAGUCGCUUCGAGAUGAGCCUGCGGUCUAUCAGCUUGUUGGUGAGGUAAUGGGCUCACCAAGGCUACGACGGAUAGCCGGUCUGAGAGGAUGAUCGGCCACACUGGCACUGAGACACGGGCCAGACUCCUACGGGAGGCAGCAGUUAAGAAUCUUGCGCAAUGGGGGAAACCCUGACGCAGCGACGCCGCGUGAAGGAUGAAGGCUUCGGGUUGUAAACUUCGGUAGACUGGGAAGAAGAAAUACGUUCGUUGAGGGCGUAUAGUGACGGUACCAGUCUGAAGCCCCGGCUAAUUACGUG